rnacentral:tRNA from 1 species
UCCCUGGCAGUCCAGUGGUUAAGACUCUGUGCUUCCAAUGCAGGGGGUUCGGGUUUGAUCCCUGGCCAGGAAA